UUGCUUCUUCUUAGAUUGUUCCCUUUAUAAUUAUAUAGUGUCCUUCUUUCCCUCAGGUUACAGUCUUUGUUUUAAAGUCUAUCUUUUUCAGGGCGCCUGGGUGGCGCAGU